AGUGAACGCUGGCGGUAGGCCUAACACAUGCAAGUCGAACGGCAGCACAGUAAGAGCUUGCUCUUACGGGUGGCGAGUGGCGGACGGGUGAGGAAUACAUCGGAAUCUACUUUUUCGUGGGGGAUAACGUAGGGAAACUUACGCUAAUACCGCAUACGACCUACGGGUGAAAGCAGGGGAUCUUCGGACCUUGCGCGAUUGAAUGAGCCGAUGUCGGAUUAGCUAGUUGGCGGGGUAAAGGCCCACCAAGGCGACGAUCCGUAGCUGGUCUGAGAGGAUGAUCAGCCACACUGGAACUGAGACACGGUCCAGACUCCUACGGGAGGCAGCAGUGGGGAAUAUUGGACAAUGGGCGCAAGCCUGAUCCAGCCAUACCGCGUGGGUGAAGAAGGCCUUCGGGUUGUAAAGCCCUUUUGUUGGGAAAGAAAAGCAGCAGGUUAAUACCCCGCUGUUCUGACGGUACCCAAAGAAUAAGCACCGGCUAACGUCGUGC
rnacentral:rRNA from 1 species